AGGCAUAUCACUUCUCUUUUUAAAUCUCUUAGACUCUCCUGCACACAGGAAGGAAUCUAAGGUUUCCCUAUGGGCACCAGACUCCAUGUAAUCUAGUCUUUGGCCACCUCUGAUCUCAUCUGCUAAAAUCAUUUCAAUCUCUCCUUACUCAGUCCAUCCCAAGCCAUCCCUGGAAGGUUUCAUCCCAACUGGUUCUCACAUCCAGUCUUUGCACUUCAGCUGUCUGUCCCUUGAAUGCUUCCACAAAACAUAGCAGGGGAACUAUUAUUUAGGCCUCUGUUCAAGUAUCACCUCCUUCAAGUGGUCUUUCCUGAGUGUCCACUCUAAGGAGCCUCCCUUCUGUCACCAUUUAGCUGUAUUUCCCUUUACUUACAGCAAAAUUGUAACUAGAUAAUGCAUUACAUGUUUUUCUGUUGCAUGUAUAUUCUGUUUCUUUCUCAUAAAUGUAAACCCUCCUAUGGCCCAAAUCUUCAUUUGCCUUUUUAACUCCUUUAUCUCCAGCAUGUGGAGCACACUUGGUACACAUUAGGAGCUGAAAUGCUCCAUAGCUGCUGAAUCAGUAGCACCAACAUGUGUACCCACCACCUUCUCAAGUGUGGCUUUAUAAGAUGUUCAUCAUGGUUGAGUGAGGAUAAGGGAAAGAAUAGUCUGUUUCUUUUAUGAUAUGGUUUGGCUGUGUCCCCAUGCAAAUCUCAUCUUGAAUUCCUAUGUGUUGUGGGAAGGACCCUGUGGGAGGUCAUUGAAUCACGGGGGCAGGCCUUUCCCAUGCUGUUCUGGUGAUAGUGAAUAAGUCUCACAAGAUCUGAUAGUUUUAAAAGGAGGAGUUCCCCUGUACAAGCUCUCUCUCUUUGCCUGCUGCCAUCCAUGUAAGACGUUACUUGCUCCUCCUUGCCUUCCACCAUGCUUGUGAGAUCUUCCCAGCCAAGUGGAAUUGUAAGUCCAUUACACCUCUUUUUCUUCCCAGUCUUGAGUAUGUCUUUAUCAGCAGCCUGAAAAUGGACUAACACAUUUUAUGAUUGGUGCAAAUUGGCUACUGAUAAAAAUCCUGAUGAUAGGAAAAUUUCAAAUUUCCUUAUAGUAAAAAUACUACUUAAUUUAAUUUUUAGAGACAAGGAAAAACAUUUUGCAGAGUUUGGCUCCACUAUUGAAAAAGGGAUGCUUUAGGUUGAACCAUUGUAGCCUCAGAUUCUAUCUUUUCCUAAAUAAACACAUUAAAGCCUCAUGUGUGAAAUUAUUUUUUAAAAAUAUUUAUCUGGAUUUAAAGAAUAACAGAUCAACAGAUACCUCUCAAUGUGUUUGCUAAUUAAUAAAAAUCAGUUUCUUACAACUAAUGUUUGUAAGAAAAUGUUCAUUUUAAGUGCUAAAUAGUGAAGAAAAUUUAUCACCUAAAAUACACCCAUCAAUAUAAGGCAAGAAAAAAUCUUAACAUGCAGCCAUUCGCUUUUGCCAUGCCCUGUCCUGUUUACUUCUUAAGAGGUUUAUUUUUGUACUUUUGCAGAAUAAACUUUAGUAAUCUAGAACUGGAAGGUACUAUAUAUGUAUGUGUGUGUAUAUAUAUAUAUAAAAGAAAAACAUAUAUAUAUUUCAAUUACUUGAAAUGUAAAAACUUACCGAAUACAAAUGGAAAAAGUGAUGUGUAUUAUAUCAUAUUGCUUUUUGUCCAUCUUUGUGAUUUAUUUACUCACUUCAUGUUUUUCAUUUACAAAAUUGUCAAGUUAGCCAAAAUAAUUCUUGUUUUCUUAAUUGGGAGAGAAGAGACCUGACAGAUUAUCUAUACUCUUCAUAUGUUAAAAGACCAUUUCCUGUAAAACUGACCUAGUGCACAAACUGAAUUUGAAAUAGACUGUGAAGUAAACUAUAACUUGUCCUUUUAAUUUUGUUUAACAUGGUUACUGACUUACAUGAUGUACUGAAUAUCAAGAUAAAGAAAAAUGUGUCUAAAAGCUAAUUAGAAUUCUCUGGGUCACCAAGUCAAGGUGCUAUUGAUCUGGGUUAAUCUGAGUAACUUAUUGUCUAGCCUAUAAAUAAGUUCCAAAAUAUCGAAUUCAAAAAAAAAAAAAAAAAAAAAAAA
rnacentral:lncRNA from 1 species